rnacentral:rRNA from 1 species
AACGAACGUUGGCGGCGUGGAUUAGGCAUGCAAGUCGAGCGGAAAGGCCCCUUCGGGGGCACUCGAGCGGCGUAAGGGUGAGUAACGCGUAGGUACCUACCCCAGGGCCUGGGAUAGCCGCGGGAAACUGCGGGUAAUACCGGAUGAUAUCCUUCGGGAUCAAAGGUGUGAUUCCGCCCUGGGAGGGGCCUGCGUCCUACUAGCUUGUUGGUGAGGUAACGGCUCACCAAGGCGACGAUGGGGUAGCGGGCGUGAGAGCGUGGCCCGUCACACUGGGACUGAGACACUGCCCAGACUCCUACGGGAGGCUGCAGUCGAGAAUCUUCGGCAAUGGGCGAAAGCCUGACCGAGCGACGCCGCGUGCGGGAUGAAGGCCUU